AACCUAGCACACCUGCGGUGUGUACCUGCGGAAGGAUCAUUAACAAGCCGUGAAGGUCGCCCUGCAAAGGAGCGGCCUUUCACCUGGCCACCCUUGUUUACUCUUAACCUGUUGCUUUGGUGGGCCCGCCGCCAAGGCCGCCGGGGAACCUUGGUUCCCGGGCCAGUGCUCACCAAAGACCCAUGAACUCUCAAGGGUUUUUUUGCUGUCUGAGCUAUGCGAAUGCAAAAUCUUAUUAAA
rnacentral:misc_RNA from 1 species